rnacentral:rRNA from 1 species
AUUGAACGCUGGCGGCAGGCCUAACACAUGCAAGUCGAGCGGAUGAAGGGAGCUUGCUCCUGGAUUCAGCGGCGGACGGGUGAGUAAUGCCUAGGAAUCUGCCUGGUAGUGGGGGAUAACGUCCGGAAACGGGCGCUAAUACCGCAUACGUCCUGAGGGAGAAAGUGGGGGAUCUUCGGACCUCACGCUAUCAGAUGAGCCUAGGUCGGAUUAGCUAGUUGGUGGGGUAAAGGCCUACCAAGGCGACGAUCCGUAACUGGUCUGAGAGGAUGAUCAGUCACACUGGAACUGAGACACGGUCCAGACUCCUACGGGAGGCAGCAGUGGGGAAUAUUAAACAAUGGGCGAAAGCCUGAUCCAGCCAUGCCGCGUGUGUGAAGAAGGUCUUCGGAUUGUAAAGCACUUUAAGUUGGGAGGAAGGGCAGUAAGUUAAUACCUUGCUGUUUUGACGUUACCAACAGAAUAAGCACCGGCUAACUUCGUG